UACGGGGGGGCAAGCGUUGUUCGGAAUUACUGGGCGUAAAGGGCGCGUAGGCGGUGCUCUAAGUCGGAUGUGAAAACUCUGGGCUCAACCCAGAGCCUGCAUCCGAAACUGGAGUGCUAGAGUUCUGGAGGGGGUAGCGGAAUUCCUGGUGUAGCGGUGAAAUGCGUAGAUAUCUGGAGGAACACCGGUGGCGAAGGCGGCAUCCUGGACCAUGACUGACGCUGAGGAGCGAAAGCCAGGGGAGCAAAGCGGG
rnacentral:rRNA from 1 species